rnacentral:rRNA from 1 species
GAUGAACGCUGGCGGCGUGCCUAAUACAUGCAAGUCGAGCGAACAGACGAGGAGCUUGCUCCUCUGACGUUAGCGGCGGACGGGUGAGUAACACGUGGAUAACCUACCUAUAAGACUGGGAUAACUUCGGGAAACCGGAGCUAAUACCGGAUAAUAUAUUGAACCGCAUGGUUCAAUAGUGAAAGUCGGUUUUGCUGUCACUUAUAGAUUGUUCCGCGCCGCAUUAGCUAGUUGGUAAGGUAACGGCUUACCAAGGCAACGAUGCGUAGCCGACCUGAGAGGGUGAUCGGACACACGGGAACUGAGACACGGUCAAGACUCCUACGGGAGGCAGCAGUAGGGAAUCUUCCGAAAUGGGCGAAAGCCUGACGGAGCAACGCCGCGUGAGUGAUGAAGGACUUCGGAUCGUAAAACUCUGUUAUUAGGGAAGAACAAAUGUGUAAGUAACUAUGCACGUAUUGACGGUAACUAAUCAGAAAGCCACGGCUAACUACGUG